GCUAUGAAAUUAUUUUCCUAGAGUGUCGGUCAUAGCUCAUUUUGGACUGUGACACAAUUGAGGAAGGUGAUGAAUUUGUUGACCUGGCUAUUUAUGCAAAUGGAAGCGUCGACAAUGCUAAAAGCGACCAAUUUGAUGAAGCCAAACAUAGCAACAAUGAGAACAUGGACAUCAGGAUAACAAGGUCAACAAGGAGACAAUGGAGCAAACCAUUUUGGAACAAAAAAGGUUAUGCCUCCUUGUCUGGCAAUUGGUGAUUUUAAAUUUUUAAUGGUGUCUUAUACCCUCAUGAGGUUAGAGGUGGUCUGUUUAAGAUGGAUCCUGGUCUACCGAAUCUGAAGAUUUAGGGAGAGAAGCCAAUCUUUUCUUCCAACAAUUAUUCUCAUCAAUUGAACCGAUUGAUUUACAAGUCUUGGCAGAGCAGCAACUCCCCUAAUUGGUUGUAGAAAUCUUCUUAAAAAUGUUUCUAAAAAUAAGGUGAGAACAACUAUUAUGAAAAUGGGAUCUUUCAAGGCAUCAGAUAGAGCCAGAUGGGUUCCAUCAUGAGAUUAAUCAGAGGAACUGGGAGAUUCAGCUAAGUACAAUUCAGAUAUCAGGUAACUAUGUAACUAGCUGGAUAUGAUGCUUUAAAACAGCAGAGAGGUUAUAUAAGAUGGUUAGAGCCUGAGCAUCAAGUGCAACAUAUUUGUUAUCACAAGACUUAAGAUAGAUUAUAUAUCUAUCAAUUUUUUUUUUAAUUUGUUGUACACCUAAAAAAAGAAAUACCAACAGAAAGAGCUGAUUAAUGUAAUUUUAAUUUUAAGCAGGUGACAUUGUCAACUAUAGGUUAUAUUAUUAGUACUUCAAAGGUUCAAAUGUUUUCCAUCAUAUUACCUUUAGUGAGAACUAAUUUGGCUCAA